CCUACGGGUGGCUGCAGUGGGGAAUAUUGGACAAUGGGGGCAACCCUGAUCCAGCCAUGCCGCGUGUGUGAAGAAGGCCCUCGGGUUGUAAAGCACUUUCAGUGAGGAAGAACGCCUGGUGGUUAAUACCCAUCAGGAAAGACAUCACUCACAGAAGAAGCACCGGCUAACUCCGUGCCAGCAGCCGCGGUAAUACGGAGGGUGCGAGCGUUAAUCGGAAUUACUGGGCGUAAAGCGCGCGUAGGUGGCUUGAUAAGCCGGUUGUGACAGCCCCGGGCUCAACCUGGGAACGGCAUCCGGAACUGUCAAGCUAGAGUGCAGGAGAGGAAGGUAGAAUUCCCGGUGUAGCGGUGAAAUGCGUAGAGAUCGGGAGGAAUACCAGUGGCGAAGGCGGCCUUCUGGACUGACACUGACACUGAGGUGCGAAAGCGUGGGUAGCAAACAGGAUUAGAUACCCGGGUAGUC
rnacentral:rRNA from 1 species